AUGCAUGUCUAAGUUCACACCCCAGUACGGUGAAACCGCGAAUGGCUCAUUAAAUCAGUCGAGGUUCCUUAGAUGACACGAUCCUACUCGGAUAACUGUGGCAAUUCUAGAGCUAAUACAUGCUUCGCAAGCUCCGACCCUCGCGGGGAAGAGCGCUUUUAUUAGUUCAAAACCAAUCGGCGGUCGUCGGGCGUCCGUCGGUUCCUGCCGGCGGGUCGCGUCCGGCGCUCCCGCCGCCCUUCUGGUGACUCUGGAUAACUUUGUGCUGAUCGCAUGGCCUCUGCGCCGGCGACGCAUCUUUCAAAUGUCUGCCCUAUCAAAUGUCGAUGGUACGUGAUAGGCCUACCAUGUUUGUCACGGGUGACGGGGAAUCAGGGUUCGAUUCCGGAGAGGGAGCAUGAGAAACGGCUACCACA
rnacentral:rRNA from 2 species